UUUUUUUUUUUUUUUUUUUUUGUGAAAGGAAAGUUAAUUUGGCAAGGUGAAAAAGAUGGCCCUCAGUCCUCUAUCUAGGCUCCCUGGUAAAAGAGUCCAGUCUAUGGAAAGAUCCUCCCCAAAGAUGAGCCACGAUCCAGCAAACCCUUCUUCACCCCUCAGGCUGAAGUCUGCAAAAAACAGAAGAUGACAUUUAGGGCUUUUACAGAGUUGGCAAACCUUUCAAAUCCUGCCCUUUAAUUAAUGAUCUGCUUUGUAAAACUAGGUAGCUAUAGUAGACAGUUCCACCCACAUGUGAAUCACUUAUUUUAGUAAGAAAAAACAUUGGCAUUUACGAAUGGACUUUGGGCUGUCACUACAUGUUGAUGAGAACAUUAUGCUCUUUGUCAAGCUGAGUUCCCAAUACACCCAGAGGCAGCACAGAUUUCGGUGGCAUCACCGCUGGUGUUGGGAAAGGAGGUGAGGAUUGGUUUCAACGACCCUGGGGAAUGUUACCCUCUCUGCAGACCUGGGCCAAAUGACUCCUUGCAAUGCAGACAAGAAGAGGUUAAAAGCUAAGUUUUCAUGUAAAAAUGUUUAUAGUUCAUAUUCCUCCAUAUAAACAUUUGGGGGGGGGGAAAUAAAUCCUCCAGCUUGGCAUGAAAAGAUUAGAUUCUACCCCAAACACUGGUUUGGAACUCGUCCCAAAAGAAAGCUGUCUGAUCAAAUUGCUGCAAUCUUAAGUGGUAAAAACAAUGUGUUCUAUUUAAAUACAGCCAUCAGAUUUUUCUAAUCAUAGUAUAAGAACCCUCAAAAUCAUCUGAUCUGAAAUCUUUGGAAUACAAAAGUUUUGUGAUGGAGGAUGGAUCACUCCUUGGAGGCCUCUAGGAACUCCACAAAGCUUGUCUUGGCAGCAACUAUAGGAUUCUUAAUUGCCUUAUUCUUCAUGCAUGUAAAAACCUGUAUUUUUUCGGGAGUUCCUGGUAUGGCUCAGCAGAUUAAAAAUCUGACUAGUAUCCAUGAGGAUGUGGGUUCAAUCCCUGGCCUUGCUCAGUGGGUUAGGGAUCCAAUGUUGUUGUGACCUGUGGUGUAGACUGCAAACGCAGCUUGGAUCCCAAGUUGCUGUGGCUGUGGUGCAGGCUGGAGUUCCCGUUGUGGCUCAGGGGUAACAAACACGACUAGUAUCCAUGAGGUUUUGGUUUUGAUCCCUGGCUUAGCUCAGUGGGUUAAGGAUCCAGCAUUGCUGUGAGCUGUGGUGUAGGCCAGCAGCUGUAGCUCUGAUUCGACCCCUAGCCUGGGAACUUCCAUGUGCCAUGGGUGAGGCCCUUAACAGAAAAAAGAAAAAAGAAAUGGAUACUUCUGGAUUCAAGCUCUAGAAACAUUUCCAUAUUGGAGCUGAGAACUCUAAAAAUAAUAUUUUAGCAGUAAGUAUUUGAUAUUCAAGAGCCAACAUUUAGAGCAAGCUGAAAGUGUGUGUGUGUGUGUUUCAGGAGUAGGAGGACCUAACUUUAGGGCAUGUGUGAAGCUUCACCCACUUCCACCUGAAGCACAAACCAAGGAAAUGAGAGCAAUUUAACAAUGGAGGGACACAUGUUCCUUGUGCAGUUUGGUUGCCAAAUCACUUCUGAUCCUUUAAUACAUGGCAGAGGCACCCCAUUCUUUAAAGCUUCUUUAUUGAAUUAAACUGUGGACUCCAGGAGGUUGAAGACCAUGGUUCAUACCCAGAAAGCCUGUGUUUCUGAAUCCCAACAUCCAGUAUAACCCUAGUACAUAAAGUACUACAAAUAUGAUUGAUAAAUAAAAGGAAUCAAUGAUUUAGUAAACAUGUACUUAGAAAACUGCUUUGACUGUGAAAUCUAAGACUUUACUUAAUAAAAUCAGCUUAUGAUAUUUAGGUUGAACAAACAGCUGUUUGGGUUUUGAAAGCUACAACUUCUUAAUUCUUCCUUGAUUGUUUCUCUUUCCCUGAGAUUAACGAUUUUCAAACAAAUAUUAAGGUCAAUGACAGCAUUGUUAGAACUGUGUGAUGAUAUUUAAGUGCACCACAGGUUUAAGUAUAGUAAAAUAAUAAAUGAAAUAGAUCUGUAUUUCAUAAGUACCUAUACUAGAUUAAAAUUUCCUAAUCCCUCACCUGAGAUAUUCUUAAAACUCUGUCCUCUAAUAUGGCAGUGGCUUUGCAGGAAAAUUUCAUAGGGUUCACAUAUUACUGAAAGGAAAACUGCAAAAAUCUAAAAAUUCCAAUGGGAUAAAAACAAAACAACUUCAGAUAUUUUGAAAUCCUUCAAGUUUUCCUGAAAAUAUUAACUUUAAGUCUCUUUGGGUGUUUUCACACCAGAUCCCUUAUAAUCAAAUAGAGAGUUCCCAUUGUGGCACAGUGGAAAUGAACCUGACCAGUAUCCAUAAGGAUGCGGGUUUGAUCCCUGGCCUCACUCAGUGGAUUAUAAGAAUCUGGCAUUGCUGUGAGUUGUGUAGGUCGCAGAUACAGCUCAGAUCCCUUGUUGCUGUUGCUGUGGCUGUGGCGUAGGUUGGCAGCUAUAGCACCAAUUAGACCACUAGCCUGGGAACUUCGAUAAGCCACGGGUAUGGCCCUAAAAAGCAAACAAACAAACAAACAAAACCACAAACAAAAAAGCCCACAGAACAGCUCCCUGUUUAAAAAACUGUGGUUUUGUUUGUUGUAAUUGCCCUUUCAUUUGACUUGUAUAAUCCACAUCUUUAUAUUUUCAGACUGCAUUCACAGUUUUAAGGUCAAAAACUGUACUUUUCCAUGUUGAAUUACUGGCGAGUAUGUUUUCUACAUUGAAUUACUUGGCAACCAAGGGAAGGUUCUUUAUGGACUGGACUCAAAAGCUCUUGUUUACUGUGAAUCCUGAAUUCAGUUCUCAAAGCAAAUGUCAUCCACACAAUAGCUCUGUUGUGGGUUCAGAACCAAGUUCCGUUUCAACACGAGUAAAUUCCUCAUCAGGCCUUGUUCUGCAGACAUGUGGUUUCAGUCGGCCACUCUAGUGUCACCUCAGAAUGUCUUUAAUAGUUUGAUUAAGUUAUAAAUAUUACAGAUAACCAGCUGUUUAAAGUAUUUUUGUGCUUACCUGCUACCUAGCUCUGAGCUUGUACCCACCGUUCCAUCUAGUAUCUGAUGCAGAAACUAAAACGCUGCUUAUUGGUGGUCUAAUUUUGAGGAGUUAUUUUUUUUUAACUUUCCCCUUAUAUUUUCCCACAUAUUUUACAAAGAGCGUGUAUUAGUUUUGUAAUAAGAGAAAAAUAAACUCUGUUUAGAAAAAAACAAAAGCGGUGUCAAGGGUCAAUAGCAAGAUGUUUUGUAUAGAAGAAAAAGAUUCUUUUUUUGGCUGCCAGUGAAAUCUCUGAUCUAAUAUUCUGGCAGACUAUGAAACCACUUCAGAAAGAAUUUUACUUCCUACCAGAAUUAUAGAAACAGCUCUAGUUCUACAGUGUUGAAAAGAUUGUCCACAUCUCUCCCCACUCGGUUCCACUGUAGUUCAGAAGAUGUUUGAAUUUCAAAAUGUGUAGACAAGAGGUAAAGCAGUGCUUUGCAGACCACAUGAGGCCCAAAUACUGUUCUCUUUGAGGACCACAUGAUUUAAAAACUGAAAUCGAUGCCCCUGGCAUGAACAUUUAGUUCCUGACUUCACACCUUUAGGUAACACGCCUGGCACCUGAGGGCAUUUGAAUUUGACACCCUUGGGCCAGCGGUUAGUAAAAAAUGGACAGAGAUGGUGUGACUAAGACAUGUUAGGCAAAGGAACAAUUGUGCUAACAUCACUAUUCUGCUCCUGGUUUUGCACUUGGGAAAAACUAAUUUUGGAAAUAAAGAAUUACAGUUAAAUCAGUAUCCACAAACUCAUGCCUCCUACAUAACCUCAUGUAAUUUUCUCCCCUAUAUCUUCCUCCCUAUUUAGUUCAUUCUGCACACGACUUCCCAGCUAAUCUUCCUAGAGCCUAACUUUACUCAUGUAGUUACUGUUUAUUCAUUCAUUCUUCUUUAGUAGGUGCAAAGAUCCCUUUUUAGGAACUAAGGAAACAAAAAUGGAUAUGAAGCUCACAGUCUCACAGCAUCUGAAGGGGACAGAGAUGAAUAUUAAAAGGGACAGGACUGUGAUAGUUGGGAGGAACUGAGUGCUGUGGAAACGGUACAGAGCCUGUGACUGCCUGGGAAAGUGUUCCAAAGGUGACACGGAGAAGGAUGAUCAAGUCUGAGAGAGGUAUUCCAGGACAAAGGAGGGCAAGCCCAAAGCCUGGGUUCAAGGGAAAGCUUGGGAGAUUCAGGGAACUGUAAUUAGUUUGGUUUGACUGGAUCACCAGAGAGUAAGGAAUGGAGAAAAAAGAAAUUCGCAUUAUUCAGUCAUUCAAUGAUUCAUCUGGUAAAUUGUUUAGUGAUUUGCUGUGUGCCAAACAUUAAGGAUACAAUAGUGAUUUAUACAGUCACACCAUUUGUUACACAAAUACCACAGUCUGAUGAGAAAUGGGGAAGUAAGGAGGCCAUACAGUAGAGUGUAGUAAGUCCUAUAAUAAAUACUACGGGUCAAGGAAACAGAGAAGGGUAUGCAGAGGUAGACAGGAAUACAGUGGAUUUUCUGAUGUGCUGCCCAGACAAUCCUCAGAUGACAUUCACCUGGGUCAUACUGCCUUCCCAGGAUGGCCUGCUUCCACUUUGAACAACUGUGGUCAGUCUAGCCACAGAGCCUCCCGUUGGUGGGGCUAAGAGGGCUUUGGUGGGGCUGCAGCACAGCUCAACUUCUCCCUCUGCCCAAUCUUGCCUCCUUCCUCACCUUCCAUGAAUGAUGACCCACAAGGAACUCUCUCAUAGAUAUCCUGAAAAUUAGUCUGUAUUUCAGAGUUCCUUUUCUGGACAGAUAAUGGAGUGGCCUUGAAGGCCAUUUUAAAUUGGAUUUAAAUGCUGUGAGCAAAUGAAGCUAACUUGAUCAUAUGUAUAUGUUGAAAGGGUGCAAAACUGAAGAUAGUGGCCUUGACAGUGGGUUGGAGAAAAAGAAAUGGAUGCACGAGGUACUUAUAGGUAAUAUUGACCGGAUUUGGUGAUUGAUUAUAGAUAGCAGGCAAGGUAAAAUUAUUUAUCUUUGGCUUGGGGAAAGAAUAAAUUUUGGUGACAUCAAUGAAGAUGGAAAAUACAGUGGAAGAAGCAGGAUCAUUAAUGACAAAUGACAAAUUCUCUUUUGGACCUGUCGAACUUAAAGUAAAUUCAAUGCAGUAGGAUGUAGGUGAUGCUUGGCAGAUGCAAUUAUACCUCUUUUUACUAUGUUUCACAGACAUUGGGCUUUUUUACACAUUGAAGGUUUGUGGUGACCCCUUGGUGUCUAGUGAGUCUAUUGGUGCCAUUUUUCCAAUAGCAUUUGCUUACCUCUUUUCUUUGUGUCAGACUUUGGUAAUUCUCUCAAAAUUUCAAACUUUUGGAGUUCCCAUCAUGGCUCAGUGGAAAUGAAUCUGACUGGCAUCCAUGAGGACAUAGGUUUGAUCCCUGGCCUGGCUCAGUAGGUUAAGGAUCUGGCAUUGCCGUGAGCCGUGGUAUAGGUCACAGAUGUGGCUUGGCUCUGGCAUUGCUGUGGCUGUGGUGUAGGCCAGUGGCUACAGCUCUGAUUUGACCCCUAGCCCGGGAACUUCCAUAUGCCACAGGUACAGCCCUAAAAAG
rnacentral:lncRNA from 1 species